rnacentral:rRNA from 1 species
GACGAACGCUGGCGGCGUGCCUAAUACAUGCAAGUAGAACGCUGAAGGAGGAGCUUGCUUCUCUGGAUGAGUUGCGCACGGGUGAGUAACGCGUAGGUAACCUGCCUGGUAGCGGGGGAUAACUAUUGGAAACGAUAGCUAAUACCGCAUAAUAUUAGAUGUUGCAUGACAUUUGCUUAAAAGGUGCAAUUGCAUCACUACCAGAUGGACCUGCGUUGUAUUAGCUAGUUGGUGGGGUAACGGCUCACCAAGGCGACGAUACAUAGCCGACCUGAGAGGGUGAUCGGCCACACUGGAACUGAGACACGGCCCAGACUCCUACGGGAGGCAGCAGUAGGGAAUCUUCGGCAAUGGACGGAAGUCUGACCGAGCAACGCCGCGUGAGUGAAGAAGGUUUUCGGAUCGUAAAGCUCUGUUGUAAGAGAAGAACGAGUGUGAGAGUGGAAAGUUCACACUGUGACGGAAUCUUACCAGAAAGGGACGGCUAACUACGU